CGGCUAACUACGUGCCAGCAGCCGCGGUAAUACGUAGGUGGCAAGCGUUGUCCGGAAUUAUUGGGCGUAAAGGGCUCGCAGGCGGUUUCUUAAGUCUGAUGUGAAAGCCCCCGGCUCAACCGGGGAGGGUCAUUGGAAACUGGGAAACUUGAGUGCAGAAGAGGAGAGUGGAAUUCCACGUGUAGCGGUGAAAUGCGUAGAGAUGUGGAGGAACACCAGUGGCGAAGGCGACUCUCUGGUCUGUAACUGACGCUGAGG
rnacentral:rRNA from 1 species